UAGGGAAUCUUCCACAAUGGACGCAAGUCUGAUGGAGCAACGGCCGCGUGAGUGAAGAAGGUUUUCGGACCGUAAAGCUCUGUUGUUGGUGAAGAAGGAUAGAGGUAGUAACUGGCCUUUAUUUGACGGUAAUCAACCAGAAAGUCACGGCUAACUACGUGCCAGCAGCCGCGGUAAUACGUAGGUGGCAAGCGUUGUCCGGAUUUAUUGGGCGUAAAGCGAGCGCAGGCGGAAGAAUAAGUCUGAUGUGAAAGCCCUCGGCUUAACCGAGGAAUUGCAUCGGAAACUGUUUUUCUUGAGUGCAGAAGAGGAGAGUAGAACUCCAUGUGUAGCGGUGGAAUGCGUAGAUAUAUGGAAGAAUACCAGUGGCGAAGGCGGCUCUCUGGUCUGCAACUGACGCUGAGGCUCGAAAAGCAUGGGUAGCGAACAGGAUUAGAU
rnacentral:rRNA from 1 species